GAUGAACGCUGGCGGCGUGCCUAAUACAUGCAAGUAGAACGCUGAAGGAGGAGCUUGCUCUUCUGGAUGAGUUGCGAACGGGUGAGUAUCGCGUAGGUAACCUGCCUGGUAGCGGGGGAGAACUAUUGGAAACGAUAGCUAAUACCGCAUGACAACAGUUAUUGCAUGAUAACUGUUUAAAAGGGGCAACUGCUCCACUACCAGAUGGACCUGCGUUGUAUUAGCUAGUUGGUGAGGUAACGGCUCACCAAGGCGACGAUACAUAGCCGACCUGAGAGGGUGAUCGGCCACACUGGGACUGAGACACGGCCCAGACUCCUACGGGAGGCAGCAGUAGGGAAUCUUCGGCAAUGGACGGUAGUCUGACCGAGCAACGCCGCGUGAGUGAAGAAGGUUUUCGGAUCGUAAAGCUCUGUUGUAAGAGAAGAACGAGUGUGAGAGUGGAAAGUUCACAAUGUGACGGUAUCUUACCAGAAAGGGACGGCUAACUACGUG
rnacentral:rRNA from 1 species